GGGCCUUGCUGCUGCAGUGUAGGCUUGUGAGUAAAGCUCAGGAGGAGUGUGCUAGCCUCUCAGUGGACCAAAGCUUAGACCAUGAUGUGGUUAGGGCUACAGUAUUGUGUGCUUGUCAAUUGGUGCCUGAAGCAUACAGACAGAAAUUCCGAAACUAUGGGGAAAGGGACAACCAAGUGUGUGUAGUUUAUGUGUGAGAAAGGGUGCUUUUUGAUAAAGAGUGUCAGGCUAGCAAAGUCAAAGAUUUUGCACAGCUGAGGGAACUAGUGCUUUUGGAGGAUUUUAAUAAAUGUUUGCCGGAGCAUGUGGUGAUUUAUUUAAAUGAACAAAAAGUUGAGUCUCUUGCAAACGCUGCAGUCUUGACAGAUGAAUUUGCCCUGACUCACAAGAGUGUUUAUUCAUCUCUGACACGUCAGGACCCUAUUGCGCCCUGAAGAAGGGCGCUGCUCUUGCGGCGACCAGCAGGUUGUCUCUGUCUGUCAGUGUCAGUGUUUUAACUUGUUUUAUUUCAUUCUUUUAUUCCUUUAUUUUAUUUUAUUUUUUUUGCCUGAGGAAAAAAUUACUUAAGGGUGGCCUAGGCAGGCAUGAAACACAUGACUGGUCACUGUUACAGUGACUGUAAUAAGAUAAGUCUCCCUGGUUUUAGUUCAGACUCUCAGUUAGCCAAUGAGCUGAAUAGAUUUUUUUUUUUGAGAUUUAAUGAUAAUUAUAAUCCAAGGAAUACACUUGAUUUCUUAAUAGAGAGCACCAGAGGCCCCCCAGCUUUGUUCUUUGAUGAAAGAAGGGUGGGAAAUCUUUUUAAAAUGAGUAAGACUAAUAAAAGUCCAGGUCCUGAUAAUAUAUGUGGCCAGGUGCUUAGAACAUGCGCUGAGCAAUUAUGCAGUAUUUUUUAUUACAUCUUUCUUUUAUCUCUUCAGCAACAGAAGGUUCCAGAGGUAUGGAAAAAAUCUAUUAUUUCUCCACAAAACCUACAUCAUUAAAUGCUUUUAGGCCUGUCGCUCUAACAUCCUUAGUAAAGUCCUUUGAAAAACUUGUCAGGAAGGAGAUCCUGCAGCAAGUAGAGAAGCUUAUAGAUCCACUACAAUUUCCAUCCUGCGCUAA
ensembl:lncRNA